CGGCAGUCUGACUGAGCCCGCCGCGUGAGUGAUGAAGGCUUUCGGGUCGUAAAACUCUGUUGUUAGGGAAGAACAUGUGCUAGUUGAAUAAGCUGGCCCCUUGUCGGUUCCUGCCCACAACCGCACGGCUAACUACGUGCCUACCGCCGCGGUAAUACGUAGGUGGCAAGCGUUAUCCGGAAUUAUUGGGCGUACAGGGCGCGCAUGUGGUUUCUUAACUCUGAUGUGAAAGCCCACGGCUCAAGUCUGGAGGGUCAUUGAAAACUGUGAAACUUGAAUGCAAAAGAUGAAAUUGGAAUUCCUUGUGUAGCGCUGAAAUGCGUAAAGAUAUGGAGGAACACCAGUGGCGAACGCGACUUUCUGGUCUGUAACUGACACUGAGGCGCGAAACCGUGGGGAGCAAACAGGAUUACAUACCCUGGUAGUCCACGCCGUAAACGAUGAGUGCUAAGUGUUAGAGGGUUUCCGCCCUUUAGGCUGAAGUGAACGCAUUAAGCACUCCGCCGGGGGAGA
rnacentral:rRNA from 1 species